rnacentral:sRNA from 1 species
NNUGGGCGUGGUGGUGCGUGCCUGUAAUCCCAGCUACUCAGGAGGCUGAGGCAGGAGAAUUGCCUGAACCCAGGAGGCGGAGGUUGCGGUGAGCUGAGAUCGCGCCACUGCACUCCAGCCUGGGUAACAAGAGUGAAACUCAAGUCUCAAAAAAUAAAAAAUUAAAAAAAAAAAAGAAAUGGAGUUUUGCUCCAUUGCCCAGGCUGGAGUGCAGUAGUGUGAUCUCGGCCGACUGCAACCUACACCUCCUGGGUUCAAGUAAUUCUCCUGCCUCA